rnacentral:rRNA from 1 species
AACGGCCGUACCAUGCUGAAUAUACCGGUUCUCGUUAGAUCACCGAAGUCAAGCAUCAUUGGGCGCGGUCAGUACUUGGGUGGGUGACCAUCUGGAAACAUUGCGUGCGG